rnacentral:rRNA from 1 species
CAGCACCUCAAGUGGUCAGGAUGAUUAUUGGACCUAAAGCAUCCGUAGCCGGCGCUGUAAGUUUUCGGUUAAAUCUGUACGCUCAACGUACAGGCUGCCGGGAAUACUGCAGCGCUAGGGAGUGGGAGAGGUAGACGGUACUCGGUAGGAAGGGGUAAAAUCCUUUGAUCUAUUGAUGACCACCUGUGGCGAAGGCGGUCUACCAGAACACGUCCGACGGUGAGGGAUGAAAGCUGGGGGAGCAAACCGGAUUAGAUACCCGAGUAGUCC